CCAGGAGCAGUUGGUGACCAUAGUGUUUCCUUCCCUCUUCCAGCUGGCUGAAGCCCGAGGAGGGGAUCACUGUGCAUUUCCACGCCAUCAUCCCCAAGCAUGUCACCUUCGACCCCGAGCUCCACACGGUGUUCAUCAGGGGAGGAGAAGAGCUCGGACAGCCCAAGUGGAGUGAUGCUUGCAAGAUGUACUACAUUGCACUGGCAUCAAUAUGAUGACAUAAUUUGCAUGAAGCCUCCUGGGACCUUCCAGAAAUUUCAGAACCUCUUCACUAAUAAGAUGAAGAAGGAGCUGGUGAAGGAGAAGAAAUUAGCAGCUGCAAUCAUGCUGGGCCGCAUCUUUAGCAACCUCCAGACCUGGAACCUCGUCAACCUGCAGAACUUCUUCACCCAGUUCCGGCAGUUUUAUUAUGUUGUCCAAGAGCCUAUGAUUUACGAAGGGAAAGCACAGCCCUGGUACAGCCUGGGCCUCGGAGAGGAAGAGGUAUCAGACUUCCCCCGGUUACCAGCAGCUCUGGUGUGGGUGGGCAGGGUC
rnacentral:lncRNA from 1 species